ACGCGAGGAACCUUACCAGGUCUUGACAUCCCACUGACCGCUAUGGAGACAUAGCUUUCCCUUCGGGGACAGUGGUGACAGGUGGUGCAUGGUUGUCGUCAGCUCGUGUCGUGAGAUGUUGGGUUAAGUCCCGCAACGAGCGCAACCCUUGUUCUUAGUUGCCAUCAUUUAGUUGGGCACUCUAAGGAGACUGCCGGUGACAAACCGGAGGAAGGUGGGGAUGACGUCAAAUCAUCAUGCCCCUUAUGACCUGGGCUACACACGUGCUACAAUGGACGGUACAAACGGUUGCCAACCCGCGAGGGGGAGCUAAUCCGAUAAAACCGUUCUCAGUUCGGAUUGUAGGCUGCAACUCGCCUACAUGAAGCCGGAAUCGCUAGUAAUCGCGGAUCAGCAUGCCGCGGUGAAUACGUUCCCGGGCCUUGUACACACCGCCCGU
rnacentral:rRNA from 1 species